GUUCAGAUCGCAGUCUGCAACCCGACUGCGUGAAGUCGGAAUCACUAGUAAUCGCGGAUCAGCAUGCCGCGGUGAAUACGUUCCCGGGCCUUGUACACACCGCCCGUCACACCAUGAGAGUCGGGAACACCCGAAGUCCGUAGCCUAACCGCAAGGAGGGCGCGGCCGAAGGUGGGUUCGAUAAUUGGGGUGAAGUCGUAACAAGGUAUC
rnacentral:rRNA from 1 species